GCACUUUCCCGAGUUGUGUUUAUUUCAGCGCGAGCGGCUGCAAGUCUUUCACUGUUUUACCAUCAGAAGCGGCUGUCGAGUAGGCGAAAGAAAGAAAAAUAAUAUAUGCAGUAGAAACACGUCAAUACUGUAUAACCACUUUCAAGAUGGCCCGGACCCAUGCCUGGUUAGGAUGCCCUUUUGAUACUGGAUCCAGGGGAGCAGUCAUGGGAUGCACUCUACGUCCCCCGGAACGCAUGGUGGCAACCCUCCUGGGUUACAUUGGGGGGCCACAGGUGUGGAACUUCAGGGCUCAAACCUGUUGGGCUCCGUGGCCACCACCCGGAAGAGCUGCAUGGCUUAACGAGCCCAUGUCGGCUGGAAUGCAGUCACACACGGAAGUGCAGCCUAAUUAGGUCAAUUACCACCUGGAGCACUUCCACGAGGGCUACAAAAGGAGCUUGCAGCGUCUACUUGAGGUGCCAGAGUCGGGACGACAACGACAACAACAACAAAGCCGCCUGGAAGGAUUGGAGGAAGAAGUGUUUUGUGGUGGUGUUUUGUUUAUGUGUGUUGUGGUGACUUUCUUUUUGGGACUGUGUAGGGCCUGUGGGACAUGGGGAAGAUGUGCCCCACAGCUGAAGAAAAAAUAAAAACCUUUUUGUUUGUUUUUA